CAGCUCUAAGUGGGAGGUAAAUUCCUUCUAAAGCUAAAUAUUGACGAGAGACCGAUAGCGAACAAGUACUGUGAAGGAAAGAUGAAAAGCACUUUGAAAAGAGAGUGAAAAAGUACGUGAAAUUGUUAAAAGGGAAGGGUAUUGAAUCAGACGUGGUGCUGUUGUUCAACUUUGUUUCGGCAUGGUGUACUCAACAGUUACUAGGCCAAGGUGGGGUGUUUGGGAGUGAAAAAGGAAUAGGAAUGUAGCUCUUCGGAGUGUUAUAACCUGUUUUCAUAGCUCCUCAGGCGCCUCAGGACUGCGCUUCGGCAAGGACUUUGGCAUAAUGAUUCUAUACCGC
rnacentral:rRNA from 1 species